rnacentral:rRNA from 1 species
UACGAAGGGGGCUAGCGUUGUUCGGAAUCACUGGGCGUAAAGCGCACGUAGGCGGAUCUUUAAGUCAGAGGUGAAAUCCCAAGGCUCAACCUUGGAACUGCCUUUGAUACUGGGGAUCUUGAGUCCGGGAGAGGUGAGUGGAACUGCGAGUGUAGAGGUGAAAUUCGUAGAUAUUCGGAAGAACACCAGUGGCGAAGGCGGCUCACUGGCCCGGUACUGACGCUGAUGUGCGAAAGCGUGGGGAGCAAACAGG